rnacentral:rRNA from 1 species
UGCCAGCCGCCGCGGUAAUACGGAGGGGGUUAGCGUUGUUCGGAAUUACUGGGCGUAAAGCGCGCGUAGGCGGAUUGGAAAGUUAGAGGUGAAAUCCCAGGGCUCAACCCUGGAACUGCCUUUAAAACUCCCAGUCUUGAGUUCGAGAGAGGUGAGUGGAAUUCCGAGUGUAGAGGUGAAAUUCGUAGAUAUUGGGUAGAACACCGGUGGCGAAGGCGGUCACCUGGCGCAGCACUGACGCUGAGGCGCGAAAGCGUGGGGAGCAAACAGGAUUAGAUA